UUUUUUUUUUUCUUUCUUUUUUGGAACCCGUUAGAUGGGUUCCAUUCUUGUGCAUGCAGGAGCACUCUAAGCUUGUGAGCUUGGCUGAAGGAUAUGAUCUAGUGUGGGUCAGUAUAUCAAUACAUCAAAAAGAGAGUAGGACCUCAAGACUGUGAUCCAGUGCGGGAGGACCGUGGAGCUGCGGGCUGUGAUCAAGUGUGACGCACGUGGAAAGAAAUCCUAGGGUGCGAUCUGGGCAGUUGGAUGACGCUUGGCUGAACGGGCAGACGGUGAGCUGGAUCUGGGUUCGGUGCGGCUGGAGGCGGCGACUGUCAGGCCAAAGCCGGUGCUGAGCAACUGGCCGUGAGCAGCGGCGGCGUAGAAGCCGGAGAACGGCGACGGGAUGGAAGGCAUGCUGGCCGUGGACUGAUCGGCAUGGAUUGGAUGGCUUGGCCAAGCUCACAAGCUUAGCGUGCUCCGUGGUGGUGGCCGGUGGCUCGGGUGCGAGUGGUGCAAUGGUGCAAGGCUGGAUCUGUUGGCUUCCGGUGUGGGCUCCUUGCAAUCGGUGGCCGAUGGGUUGUCCCACAUUGGCCAAGGAGCGAAAGAUGGAUGAGUUUACAAGCACCGUACCACGGGUCCUCUUCUAAUGGUUCUGUAAUUGCAUGCAUGGAUGAGUUAUCUUUGGAGGUCUUUCUUAUAAACCAUUUCUCAUAAUUAGCACUAGUAUCAAUUUUCCCCUUUACCCAAUUCCCUUGCUAUUGCAUAGGGACAAUAAGAAAAGAAAGUUCUUAGAAUGUCUGAAUUACACUCCUUCGCAAUUGGGCUAAUUUAAUUACAUGCAACAAGAUAGAAGACGAAAUGAUGUGGAAAGCUUCCAAUUGCUGGAACUCUGGACGCUGUCGCUGUUGGAAAUUUAAAUCAUGAUCAUUCCAAUAUUGGAGGGUGAGAAUUGAGAAAAGUUCAAAAGGCCCCAAAUUUCAAGGGCUGAUCA